GAAUAAGCACCGGCUAACUACGUGCCAGCAGCCGCGGUAAUACGUAGGGUGCAAGCGUUAUCCGGAAUUAUUGGGCGUAAAGGGCUCGUAGGCGGUUCGUCGCGUCCGGUGUGAAAGUCCAUCGCUUAACGGUGGAUCCGCGCCGGGUACGGGCGGGCUUGAGUGCGGUAGGGGAGACUGGAAUUCCCGGUGUAACGGUGGAAUGUGUAGAUAUCGGGAAGAACACCAAUGGCGAAGGCAGGUCUCUGGGCCGUCACUGACGCUGAGGAGCGAAAGCGUGGGGAGCGAACAGGAUUAGAUACCCUGGUAGUCCACGCCGUAAACGGUGGAUGCUGGAUGUGGGGCCCGUUCCACGGGUUCCGUGUCGGAGCUAACGCGUUAAGCAUCCCGCCUGGGGAGUACGGCCGCAAGGCUAAAACUCAAAGAAAUUGACGGGGGCCCGCACAAGCGGCGGAGCAUGCGGAUUAAUUCGAUGCAACGCGAAGAACCUUACCUGGGCUUGACAUGUUCCCGACAGCCCCAGAGAUGGGGCCUCCCUUCGGGGCGGGUUCACAGGUGGUGCAUGGUCGUCGUCAGCUCGUGUCGUGAGAUGUUGGGUUAAGUCCCGCAACGAGCGCAACCCUCGCCCUGUGUUGCCAGCACGUCGUGGUGGGAACUCACGGGGGACCGCCGGGGUCAACUCGGAGGAAGGUGGGGAUGACGUCAGAUCAUCAUGCCCCUUACGUCCAGGGCUUCACGCAUGCUACAAUGGCCGGUACAACGGGAUGCGACACCGCGAGGUGGAGCGGAUCCCUUAAAACCGGUCUCAGUUCGGAUUGGAGUCUGCAACCCGACUCCAUGAAGGCGGAGUCGCUAGUAAUCGCGGAUCAGCAACGCCGCGGUGAAUGCGUUCCCGGGCCUUGUAC
rnacentral:rRNA from 1 species